GACGAACCGUGCGAACGUUGUUCGGAAUCACUGGGCUUAAAGGGCGCGUAGGCGGCUCGCGAGGUCGGGGGUGAAAUCCCGCAGCUUAACUGCGGAAGGGCCUCCGAUACCGGCGGGCUGGAGGAAGGUAGGGGUGCGCGGAACUUCUGGUGGAGCGGUGAAAUGCGUUGAUAUCAGAAGGAACGCCGGGCGGCGAAAGCGGCGCACUGGACCUUUUCUGACGCUGAGGCGCGAAAGCUAGGGGAGCAAACGGG
rnacentral:rRNA from 1 species